UACGGAGGGGGGCUAGCGUUGUUCGGAAUUACUGGGCGUAAAGCGCACGUAGGCGGCUUUGUAAGUUAGAGGUGAAAGCCCGGGGCUCAACUCCGGAAUUGCCUUUAAGACUGCAUCGCUAGAAUUGUGGAGAGGUAAGUGGAAUUCCGAGUGUAGAGGUGAAAUUCGUAGAUAUUCGGAAGAACACCGUGGUGCGAAAG
rnacentral:rRNA from 1 species